rnacentral:rRNA from 1 species
AUUGAAUGCUGGCGGCAGGCCUAACACAUGCAAGUCGAACGGUAACAGGAAGCAGCUUGCUGCUUUGCUGACGAGUGGCGGACGGGUGUGGAAUGUCUGGGAAACUGCCCGAUGGAGGGGGAUAACUACUGGAAACGGUAGCUAAUACCGCAUAACGUCGCAAGACCAAAGAGGGGGACCUUAGGGCCUCUUGCCAUUGGAUGUGCCCAGAUGGGAUUAGCUAGUAGGUGGGGUAACGGCUCACCUAGGCGACGAUCCCUAGCUGGUCUGGGAGGAUGACCAGCCACACUGGAACUGAGACACGGUCCCGACUCCUACGGGAGGCAGCAGUGGGGAAUCUUGCACAAUGGGCGCAAGCCUGGUGGAGCCAUGCCGCGUGUAUGAAGAAGGCCUUCGGGUUUUAAAGUACUUUCAGCGGGGAGGAAGGGAGUAAAGUUAAUCCCUUUGCUCAUUGACGUUACCCGCAGAAGAAGCACCGGCUAACUCCGUG